ACAAAAAAAUGACUCGGCAAUUUUGCCAGAGUUUUCACACCCUACCAGGCCGCAAGGCUUGUGCUCACUAUUCUAAGCUAGCGGGUUAAAACGGUCUAGGUUAAAAACCUUGGUCGGACUCUUGGGUCACCCGCAUUUUUACACGCUAGUCUUACUAGUCAAACCUUUUUAUAAAAGUAAA
rnacentral:misc_RNA from 1 species